ensembl:lncRNA
AUGUGCAGGGGCCAGGGCCCGAGGUUGACGGCCAGUGUCCGUGCUGGGAGUGCCGAGGGCUCCCGGGGCGGGUUCCGGGGCAAGGGGCCCGGAGUCCCGGUCUUGCCCGGCCCCCGUGGGCCGCAACGCGGAGCCGCGGGCCUGAGAAGGCGCCCGGGAGGCCCGGCCCGUGCCGCCUACCUACCUGUGAAGAGCGCGCCAUCGCCAUGCCAAGUCUCGCCGUCCCGGGCCGCGCCGCCGGAUCCCCGCCGUGUCGCUCGCCCCGCAGCCCCGGCCCGGCCCGGCCCCCUCAGCCGCCCCCCGGGACCGCGGUCGCCGCCGGCUCCGCCGCUGCCAUUUCACCCGCUGACAGGAGCCGCUGCCCCGCCCCCGAGGCCCAGUCAGCCAAUUCACCGCCCCCAGCCGCUCUGGCUCCGCCCACUGUCAAGGAGUGAUGGCGUGUUUGGCCAAUCCUUGGUCAUAUCGUAAGGCGGGCCCUGGCUACGGCCAGAAGGUUGCCGCCUUUAAGGAGAGAAGCGAAUUGAAGUUAGGGAAGCAGUGAAGGACGGGUAGUUUUGCCUAUCGAAAUGUGGCGCCCUGUUGAUCAACAUUUGGCAUGACCAAUAGCGAGGAGAGAGGGGUGUGUCUCUGAGGAAAGACUGCGUCCCUGAGGAACCGCAGACAGAGGCAGGCGAGCGUUUGGCGCUAAGCCCCGCCCAGAGCCGGGCUUUUUGCCCAGUAAUGAGACGUCCUGGGACGUCUAUUAUUAUCUGUCCCUCAAACCUCGGCCAUGGCAACUGUUGGGCCGCUAUAAAGAAAAUUGACAUCUAGCGAGCCAAUGACACUGAAGGAGGGCGGUGAAGUAACGCUUUCUGGCCAAUGAGAUUGCGAUAUUGUUGUGCAGUUGCCCUCCCAGGCGGUGGGACUUCGGGAGUGAAUGAAAUAGGGGAGGGGCUGAGAGGGGCGUGGCCUAGAUCAGCCCUGGGACAGGGGCUGAGCAGGUAGAGGCUAAAGGGUUGGGUCUGAGAAGGGGCGUUAUCAGAAGUCCCUGCGGCUGAGGGACAGCAUCUUCACACUGCCCUAUUUGUUUUGNUUGGGGGCGGGGCUUUGGGGGGUUGGGGUGUCACACCGGGGACUCAGGCCCUCCUCUAGUCUAGGCUAGGUUAAAUAUCUUCUCUUAAGUGUCUAAUGUUCCUCCAUCAAACUCUGAGCAUGCCGUUAUCACUGCUUACAUGACUCCCACGCCCCCAACACCUCUUAGACCCACGGGGGCAGGGUGGGAGUGAUGCAGGGCCUAGGUCAGGUUUCCUCCCGUGGUCCUCAGCAUUGCUGAGUAGGGGCCCGGCACAUAGGACUGCUUAUAAAAUGUUUGAUAAAUGAAUGAAUGGCGGGCCCAAGAUAUUAACAGGGAAGGGAAGGGAAGGGUGGAAGGAUCAUUCAGGCUGGGGAGUUACUGAUAGGGGGCAAGACUUAGCAAAAAGGACACGCUUACACCCCAAGAUGCAGGGAAGGGUUCUGGAGGGGCUGGGGCAGGGAAGAAGGACCCUGUCACAGAAGAUAGGGUGACAUCGUCAGCUCAGAAUGGAGCUGAAAAUGGAAAGAGACAGAAAUGGGAACGGGAAGCCUGGGACUCAAGAUGGGCCAUGUCAGGACCUACUGAGGUCUGAGAUCUCAGUCUUCUAAAUAGUAGGUAGGAGGUUCCUUCUGGUUUGGGGAGCAGUGAACGACGUCAGGCCACACUCCCUGCCCCUGUGAUUUGUCUCCGCCUCAGUCUACACUCUGUCUAAUCUACAUUUUGCUUGCCUUCUCUCUCUUUGUCUCUGUCUCCACUCUGAGUCUGUCUACACCCUCUCGCCACUGUCUAUACUCCCUCAGUGGAUGUCUUCUCUCUCCCCCUCUCUCUUACUAUCUAUUGUACAUUGCAUCUAUUAAAAUUCUGGAACUGUUCAGAAAAGCUUUGAAGCAUAUUUCUAAAAACUCAAUGGCAAAAAUAAUUAUAAUGAAUUCCUUCUCCACAUGCCCAUAUUUCCCCAUACUUCUUUUUUUUUUUUUUAAAGAACACAUCUUUGAUUCCCUGGCAGUCCAAUGGUUAGGACUCUGUGCUUUCACUGCCAAGGGCCCGGGAUUUGAUUCCAGAUUGAGGAACUAAGAUCCUGCAUGCCACAUGGCCAGAAAAGCAUAUCUUUGCCUUCCCUCUCCUUUUGGGGAGGAGGAUCUUAUUGCCUGGGCCAGAGUUGAAGCCAUGCUCCUUGAAGUGGAAGGGUGGAGCCUUAACCAUUGGACCACUAGGGAAGUCUCUAUUUGCUCCCUUAGUUUAAAAUUUAUGUGCUAGACGUUUCAUAGUCCUGACAUAGUCACAAGGUGGCCUUGUAUUUGCAGAGUAUGAAGCUGAAGUGAACCUCAUGGACAUUGUCCAUUGAUUCCUAGCAGACUUAAGAGGUGGGGGGAGGAUCCCUGUGGACAUAGAUAUGGGAUGUGCUCAGUUGCUCAGUUGUGUCCGACUCUUUGCAAUCCCAUGGACUGUAGCCUACCAGGNNNNNNNNNNNNNNNNNNNNNNCAAGAAUGCUGGAGUGGGUUGCCAUUUCCUCCUCCAGGGGAUCUUUCCAAGUCAGGGAUGGAACCUGCAUCUCCUGCAUUGGCAGGUGGAUUCUUUACCGCUGUGCCACCUGGGAAGCACUAGGUGAGCCCUAGAGAUGGAACACAUGGUCUCGAGUCAGGAGGGCAAGAGUAAUACCCAGGAUGUGGUGAGGGCCAAAUAACCACCAAGGGAUAAUUUCUGAGUUGGCUGCCCAUUACUCCCCAGUGUGGAGGAGUGAGGACAAAUCUUGGGGUUCACCCCCAGAAAAGAACAGUUUAGUGUGACCUACAACUUUUAAGGAACAAAAUACCUGGAUUGUUAUGAGAGGUGGGAGACAGGGGUCUGCAGAGACACAAACCUGGGUGGGGUCCAGAGAAGCCCAGAAAGACGUAAGGACUAGAUCGUUUCUGGGAAUUUGCCUAGGAGAUAAUUGGUGUCUGGUGUCUGGGGAAUAAAAUUAAAUGCCAGAAAGAUGCCCAGGGCUUUUGACCUUCUCUUGCUCACCCUGCCAUGCUCACACAAAGGAUGGUUUUAUUCUGGGGACACUUUGAUUCCAUUUUUAAAAGCUCAGUGAGAAAAAAAAUCCAACACGUUUCUGUUGGAAAAGAUUUUGAAUCCUAAGCUGCAUCUAGCCAACUAGAUUCCUGGAUAACUUUGCUUUUAUUCAGUGCACUUAAACUGUCCCCAAUUUUUUUUUUCAGUGUUUACUUUUAUUUGAUUGAAAUCAUUUUUAUCAGGAACAUUUUUUCCAUGUGAUCUUUGCAGUAAACAUUUGAUUCAUUGGGUUCUUUUUGUCCAAUUCUUUUUUUCUUUUACCAACUGUCAAUUCUCUCUCUGUGAUUUUUUUCAGUAGUGGGGGAGGUGGUUAUCAUUUCUUCAGAGUCAAAUUUUGCAUCUUUCAACUGAUUAAAUUAUUUUUCUCUCAGUAUUUAGAGGAUAAGAAGUUUCAGCACAAAAUUUUUUUCGAGAUUAAGAUUUUUAACUCAAAAUUUGUUUGUUGUGAUAUUGAUCACCGUGGGCUCAGACUUGAUACUUUGUCUUGUAAAGAGCAGACAGGGGGAUAAUACUUAUAGCUCCUCCUAUGAAGAAGUGGAGUCUGUUUUCCCAUCACUUGAAUCUGAGCUGGUUUUGUCACUUGUUCUGACCAAAAGAAUACAUCAGAGGUGAUGUUGGGCUAGUUAGUUCUGAGCCUAGAACUUAAGAGACAUGGCAGCUUCUUCUUCUUUUUUGAGAAUAUUUGAUUGUGGUAAAAUGCAUGUAACCUAACAUUUUCCAUUUAAAAUGUACAAUCCAGUGGCAUUCGGUGCAUUCACAAUGCUGCGCAAUCAUUACUACCUACUUCCAAAACUUUUUCAUCAUUCCCAUGUAGAAACUCCGUCCCUAUUUAAAAACUCCCCAUUACCCACCCCCUACCCUGCCCAGACCCUGGUAACCUCUGUUUCACUUCCUGUAGCUAUGAAUUUAUUCUAGGCACUUCACGUAAGUGGCAUCAUACAAUAUUUGUCCUUUUGUGUCUGGUUUGUUUCUAUUAGCAAAGAUNNNNNNNNNNNNNNNNNNNNNNNNNNNNNNNNNNNNNNNNNNNNNNNNNNNNNNNNNNNNNNNNNNNNNNNNNNNNNNNNNNNNNNNNNNNNNNNNNNNAUACAAUAUUUGUCCUUUUGUGUCUGGUUUGUUUCUAUUAGCAAAGAUUUGCAGGUUCAUUCAUGUUGUGUUAGAACUUCUUUCCUUUUUAUUAAAAGUUAGGUCAUAUUCUGAUGUUUGCCUAAACUGUAUUUUGCUUAUCCACUCAUCAGUGAAUGGACACUUGGGUUGUUUCCACCUUUUGGCUACUGUGAAUAAUGCUGCUAUGAACACAGGUGUACAAGUGUCUAUUUCAGUCCCUGCUUUCAAUUAUUUUGAUAAAUACCCAGGAGUAGAUUCUUGAGUGUCCCUUGGACUGCAAGGCAAUCAAACCAGUCAAUCCUAAAGGAAAUCA